UACGAGAAGAAGGAUUCAAGGUUAUCUCAGUGGAUAUCUAUAGAGAUCAGACACGUGUGCGGCUCAAAGACUUUCAAAUCUGAGAUCAUUGGUAGCGAUAAAUUUCUACCCAUGCAAAGGUAUUGAGAUUUGAUUUCAUGUUUAUUUUAUUUUUUUAGAUUAUAUGCAUGUCUUUACUUCUGAGCUUGGGUAGAAUUAGAUGAGAGCUAAU
rnacentral:lncRNA from 1 species